AUAUUUAAAGUGUUUGUUACAUGGGUGUCACUGUGGGUUCUUAUGGGUUAAAGUCAUUUUAUUCAAUAAUGUCCCAUCUGUUUCUUUAUAAUAAUGACUAUUCUGUACAUUGCUUCUACUUUUUCUGCCUUUGUGCACCGAUUCUACUUAGACUAGCAACAGAGAUGCCUGAACACACUAACUGACAAUAAAUACGUGAAAGGACCUCGUGACGACAUGUGUCAUCCAUUACAGAACAUUUCGUUGAGCCGCUUUUCUUUUUUCUCUCUGACAACCUGCAAUUAUACCAGCAUGCUCUGAGGAGUCAAUCUACGCUGCCAGCCGCACAUUAAAGUGUCUGACGAGGUGCGGAUCCCGAAGGAGCUGACUUCCUCCUCUUCUUCCUCC